UGGUCCUGGUUUACUGUGGAUGUUGCCAGACCGCAGAGUCCCGGUUAAGAGAGGUCCAACCUAUACUUUGCCCCUGUUAGUAACUUGCAUCAGAGGAUCGCACGGCCCUUUGCAGAGCUGGGCAAGCGGCCUCCUUAUUGAACAGACGAAGAAAGGAAUCGGAGGCCCAGAGUAAGGCCCAGGCAGCAAGGAAGUGACAGAAGUUGGAAAUGGAGCGAGCGCAAGGGCGCGAUUCCCAGACCUCUAUGCCAACGCUGGAGACAACUCUCUGACAUGCUCAUUUGCAUGAUGUGCGCGCCACCCUCCGCUGCAAAGCGACGGCUGCCGUAACCGCCCGGCUCUGAACGAUGGGUUUAACAAAAUAAAACCCAAACCUCUUCAGCUUGUACUCGGCACAUCCGCCAGGUUACCCACAGCCUUGGAGCCAUCUGCAAGGCAUUCUGGGACAUGUAGUCCCCAUGCUUGCAGGGGCAGCGGGGGAGGGAGACAUGUUACAGACAGACAACCUGCAGGCCUCAUUUCAGGGCCAUUUGCGGCCUGGGAGCUGCACUUUGGACAGCCCUGGCAGCGGCAGGCCGUGCCGAAGCAAAGGGAAAGGCCGAUGUGGAGGUCAGCACCCCAGUUCUUGCACAUCUGGGCAGCUGCAGGGGAGUGAGGCUGGUUUGCACCAGCUGGGGGAUCCGGCCCUACGCUGUAAUUAAAGCCCCGCUCUCGUCUUUCCACCUUUUCGAUUUACUGCAGCCAGCCUCCUAUUUGGUUUGGUUAUUUAUCGCCGAGAGUAAUUAUUAAUCAUCACUCGUUAGUGUGCGCCACGUCUCCAAAGCGCUCAGCGCCAUGCCAGGGAACGGCAGCGAGGAAAGACUGGAGCUGGGUUAGCAGCCCCAGAAGUAACCGCAGGCUACGCCAAAAGAGCAGCAACGUCACCUCCUUGCAAGCAACGGGGCUGCUCGCCUCAGCCACAACGCGCCCGAGCGGGUGCACCCAGCUUUCCCCGGGUCACAUCCGGUGCCUCCAUUCUCCUGAAUAUGUUUCUGUGUGGAAGGCUCUCAGCUGGCAGCAGCUACAGGAGCGAGUCCUACAGCGGGAAGGCGGGGGGCGGAGGGGGGGUCUGAUUCUGCUCUCAGACAUUCCCAAUGCCAAGGGACUUGCACAGGCCCUUUUGUGGGUAUCAAGCAGAGGAGCGGGGGGUAUUCAGAGAAGCUGCGCCUGACCAUUAUUUAUGCUCACCGCCUGCACUAAUGACAUAGGUAAGUUGACAGCCUACAUCCCGUUGGCCGGCUGGAGUGCAUCUUGAUUGUUCAAACACACUCUUAAAGGUGUCCAAUCAUUUAUCACAUGGAAACGACCGUCCACAACGCACCCUCAUUUCCUAGCACCACUCCUGGCAAAAAGGCACCGUUUGCCGGGCAAGGCUCCUCGCCCUGCCUGUGCCCAGAACCACGGCAUUCCAUGAUUCGGCCUUCUUUCCUUCUCCGCCGUGUCACAAACUCCAAUACAAAUCUACUAAUCCAGCAGGAAACGAUGGACUCCAGAAACUCCACCAAUUAAAUUUAGACUCAUGAAAAGCUCGAUGGCUAGUAAAUUAUAAUUUUUAUUAGCUUGAACAAUGUUCCCGUAAGAGAAAGUGGAGACUCUCCCAUGAAUGGCUCUUGUAUAAUUUAUUUAACUUUCGGGGCCUUGCCAAAGCCCGGAAUAUUUUUAGAUCUUUCUGUUGUCGGGUUUGGCUUUUUUUUUUUUUUUUUUUUUUGUAAGUGAGUUUCUGGAGGGGUAUUUUUAGACUCACGCAUGUUAUUUUAACAGACUCCUUUGCAUUUGGACUUCCAUAUGUCACACAGCCUCUCCUACAAGGCUGGGCAGGUUUCUAAGAAUGACUGGGAGUCAAUUUCUUUCACUACGGAUGUGCUAUUUGCACCCAGGCGCUGCUGCCUGACGCUAAAUUAGCAUCACACAGGGUGGAUAGUCCUAUAGAAAAAUUCCACUUCUUAUAGGAAUAAUUAGACAUGAUGGUGUAGCAAUUCCCAGUGGAAAAAUGCACAUUCCAAAAUUGAGCUUUAAUUUCCCAGUGUGUGUGUUAACCGCAGCUGCCUUGCAUAACAAUGUAUAUCUUACGGUUCUUGUGCAAAAGAUCAGCUCUGGCAGUUCCUAGCUGUUAUCUGUGCAUUGCCUUUGAUGUCUCAUGCUACUUGUCAUUUAUAAGUAAAGAUGGUUAGAGUCUUUAGAACACAUCUUUGAACAGUAACUCUUUUAGCACCUAUUUAAUGCUGGUAACUGUGUUGCAAAAACACUGGCUGGUGUCAUGCAGUUAAUGAGAUAUUUACUAAAAUGUAUUUUCUUUAAAAAAAAAAAAAA